rnacentral:tRNA from 1 species
GGUCCCAUAGUCCAGUGGUUAAGACAACGCGUUUACACCGCGUAGACAGCAGUUCGAUUCUGCUUGGGACCA